rnacentral:rRNA from 1 species
UACGAAGGGGGCUAGCGUUGCUCGGAAUCACUGGGCGUAAAGCGCACGUAGGCGGACUCUUAAGUCAGGGGUGAAAUCCUGGAGCUCAACUCCAGAACUGCCUUUGAUACUGGGAGUCUUGAGUUCGGGAGAGGUGAGUGGAACUGCGAGUGUAGAGGUGAAAUUCGUAGAUAUUCGCAAGAACACCAGUGGCGAAGGCGGCGCACUGGCCCGAUACUGACGCUGAGGUGCGAAAGCGUGGGGAGCAAACAGG